rnacentral:lncRNA from 1 species
UCCAGAGAGAGAUGGAGGACCCACUUUCUAUCUCCAAACCCUAAACCCCCUUUCUCUCUCCUCUUCCUCUUCGCCUUCCGAUUGAGUCCUACGGAUCUAUACCAUAUGUACACAGUUUCAAUAAUCAAUGGAUAUGAGAAAACAUAUCUACUUUAUCUCUUUUGUGUCUCUGCAUGUGUUUGGGGAAUUAAUGAAUGAAAACUUGAGCUAUCUAUCUAUACCAUAUAUACACAGUUUCAAUGGAUAUAUUUUCUCAUAUCCCUUUCUCUCUCCUCUUCCGAUUGGGAAAAUUGAUCCAUAUAAACAAAUAAACUAGAGGUUUAAGGAGAGAAAAAAG